rnacentral:rRNA from 1 species
GGCUCAGAACGAACGCUGGCGGCGUGCCUAACACAUGCAAGUCGAACGAGAAAGUCCCCGCAAGGGGAUGAGUAAAGUGGCAUACGGGUGAGUAACACGUAGCUAACCUACCCUCGAGUGGGGAAUAACCUCGGGAAACCGGGGCUAAUACCGCAUAACAUCCCAAGGUGAAACUCCUUGUGAUCAAAUGCGCAAGCAGCUUGAAGAGGGAGUCGCGCCUGAUUAGCUAGUUGGUGAGGUAACGGCUCACCAAGGCGAUGAUCAGUAGCCGGCCUGAGAGGGCGCACGGCCACACUGGAACUGAAACACGGUCCAGACUCCUACGGGAGGCAGCAGUGGG